rnacentral:lncRNA from 1 species
GCUCUUUAAUAUAACUGAAAUAAGAACCACUAAUUAACUUCUAAGCAAACAUAUGAAAUUGGAGAAGGCAACUUACCUAUCUCGAACUAGUAAUUUACCACUAACAGAACCUCUUUGCCAGCUCUUUUGGAAGUCCUCAGAAAUUGGAAAGUUAUAAGGCCAAGUCUCUACUUCCCUCAGCAUCUGAAUAUAAAGAAUAGAAGCAUGGAAGUAUA